UACGAAGGGGGCUAGCGUUGCUCGGAAUCACUGGGCGUAAAGGGUGCGUAGGCGGGUCUUUUAAGUCAGAGGUGAAAUCCUGGAGCUCAACUCCAGAACUGCCUUUGAUACUGAGGAUCUUGAGUUCGGGAGAGGUGAGUGGAACUGCGAGUGUAGAGGUGAAAUUCGUAGAUAUUCGCAAGAACACCAGUGGCGAAGGCGGCUCACUGGCCCGAUACUGACGCUGAGGCACGAAAGCGUGGGGAGCGAACAGG
rnacentral:rRNA from 1 species